GGAAGGGUGGGACGACGUCAAGUCAUCAUGGCCCUUAUGUCCUGGGCUACACACGUGCUACAAUGGCCGGUACAGAGCGCAGCGAGGCCGCGAGGCGGAGCGAAUCGCUUAAAGCCGGUCCCAGUACGGAUUGGAGUCUGCAACCCGACUCCAUGAAGUUGGAAUCGCUAGUAAUCGCGCAUCAGCAUGGCGCGGUGAAUACGUUCCCGGGCCUU
rnacentral:rRNA from 1 species